rnacentral:rRNA from 1 species
UGGCGGCAGGCUUAACACAUGCAAGUCGAGCGGUAGCAGAUCUAGCUUGCUAGAUGCUGACGAGCGGCGGACGGGUGAGUAACGCGUAGGAACCUGCCCAGUAGUGGGGGAUAGCCCGGGGAAACUCGGAUUAAUACCGCAUACGCUCUACGGAGGAAAGAGGGGGCUUCGGCUCUCGCUAUUGGAUGGGCCUGCGCGAGAUUAGCUAGUUGGUGAGGUAAUGGCUCACCAAGGCGACGAUCUCUAGCUGGUCUGAGAGGAUGAUCAGCCACACUGGGACUGAGACACGGCCCAGACUCCUACGGGAGGCAGCAGUGGGGAAUAUUGCACAAUGGGCGCAAGCCUGAUGCAGCCAUGCCGCGUGUGUGAAGAAGGCUUUCGGGUUGUAAAGCACUUUCAGUGGGGAGGAAGGCCUCGUAGUUAAUAGCUGCGAGGAUUGACGUUACCCACAGAAGAAGCACCGGCUAACUCCGUG